rnacentral:rRNA from 1 species
CCUACGGGAGGCAGCAGUAGGGAAUCUUCCACAAUGGGCGAAAGCCUGAUGGAGCAACGCCGCGUGGGUGAAGAAGGUCUUCGGAUCGUAAAACUCUGUUGUUAGAGAAGAAAGUGCGUGAGAGUAACUGUUCACGUUUCGACGGUAUCUAACCUGAAAGCCACGGCUAACUACGUGCCAGCAGCCGCGGUAAUACGUAGGUGGAAAGCGUUAUCCGGAUUUAUUGGGCGUAAAGGGAACGCAGGCGGUCUUUUAAGUCUGAUGUGAAAGCCUUCGGCUUAACCGGGGUAGUGCAUUGGAAACUGGGAGACUUGAGAGCAGAAGAGGAGAGUGGAACUCCAGGUGUAGCGGUGAAAUGCGUAGAUAUAUGGAAGAACACCAGUGGCGAAAGCGGCUCUCUGGUCUGUAACUGACGCUGAGGUUCGAAAGCGUGGGUAGCAAACAGGAUUAGAUACCCUAGUAGUC